rnacentral:rRNA from 1 species
ACGGAAUAGAUACCCGGGUAGUCCCAGCUGUAAACGAUGCAGACUAGGUGUUUGGACGGCCACGUGCCGUUCUAGUGCCGCAGGGAAGCUGUUAAGUCUGCCGCCUGGGGAGUACGAUCGCAAGAUUGAAACUUAAAGGAAUUGGCGGGGGAGCACCACAAGGGGUGAAGCUUGCGGUUUAAUUGGAGUCAACGCCGGAAAUCUCACCGGGAGCGACAGCAGUGUGAUAGCCAGAUUAAAGGUCUUGCUAGACGAGCUGAGAGGAGGUGCAUGGCCGUCGCCAGUUCGUGCCGUGAGGUGUCCUGUUAAGUCAGGCAACGAUCGAGACCCGCGUCCUCUGUUGCUACCAGUCUUGUGCUGGGCACACUGAGGAGACCGCCGCUGAUAAAGCGGAGGAAGGAGCGGGCCACGGCAGGUCAGUAUGCCCCGAAUCUCCCGGGCCACACGCGAGCUGCAAUGGCAGGUACAAUGGUUCCGACCUCGAAAGGGGAGCAAUCUCGAAAACCUGCCGUAGCUGGGAUCGA